GCUUGUCUCAAAGAUUAAGCCAUGCAUGUCUAAGUAUAAGCCUUUAUAUGGUGAGACUGCGAAUGGCUCAUUAAAUCAGAAACUGUUUAUUUGAUAGUGCCUACUACAUGGAUACCUGUAGUAAUUCUAGAGCUAAUACAUGCAAAAAGCCUGGACUUCUGGAACAGGCGUAUUUAUUAGAUAUACAAACCAACCGCUUCGGCGACCCUUGGUGACUCAUAAUAACUUCGCGAAUCGUUUUCGGACGAUGUAUCAUUCAAGUUUCUGACCUAUCAGCUUCCGACGGUAGGGUAUUGGCCUACCGUGGCAAUGACGGGUAACGGGGAAUUAGGGUUCGAUUCCGGAGAGGGAGCCUGAGAAACGGCUACCACAUCUAAGGAAGGCAGCAGG
rnacentral:rRNA from 1 species